rnacentral:snoRNA from 2 species
AGGUUAUGUCAAAGAGGGCUCAUGAGGCUAUGAAACCAAGAGCUCUUAAUGCUAUGAACAAAGAUGGAAGUUCUCUAUAAAAUGCCAUAGCACUCCAUAAUGUUAUGUUUUCCUAAGGUAAUAUAAGA